rnacentral:lncRNA from 1 species
ACAGCUACAGUGACUUGGAACAAACACAGCUGAGACUAACCCUGGGAGCUGAGACUUUGCUUUUCCCUGUACACUCUGAGAAGCUACCAUCUGAUCAGAAGAGAUAUCACUGUUGCAGUGAAUAAAGUCAGCAUCUAAUCUUCCUGUUUUCACAGCAGCACCAUAUGGCAGUGACAGCACCUUCUGCAAGAAGAGAAACUCUAAACCAAUUACAACAAUAUCAUUUCUGUGUUGAACCAUAAGUCAUUGGAAACCCACUGCAACCAUGCUUCCAUAAUAGCAGCUGGAAUCUCCAAUUCUACAGAGAAAAGGAAUGUUGAAGUAACAUACAUGUAGCUUUGAGGAGGAGGCACGUGCAUUCAAGCUCAUGGAGAGGAUUGACAGCCACAGACAGGCACUCAUAAGAACUGAAUGUAAAUCAUCAAAGAGAAUAUACUCAGGAGGCACUGUCUACCAUAGGUAAGCAUUGCAAUUUUUAUUUAAUAUGGGAAAAACAUAAGAACGAAGCCUGACAGAUACAGUCUUAACCAAGUGAUCAAAGUUAAAAUCACCAGAGAUAAAUCACAUUAAUAUCAUCUGUCCUCUGACAUGAUGCAAUGAGAAAAAUGCUUCACCUUGUGGGGUUCUUUGGAAAAAUUCAUAACCUCAGUGUAAUCAUAAGAAAAUGUGAGGCAAAUGCAAAAUGAAGGCCAUUCUACAAAAUGCCUAACCAGAACUCUUGAAAUCUCACUGUCACACAAUGUGACUUUAACAGAGAAGUAUUGUUUCUAAGGGUGAAUGAGCAAAUUUGAAACAUGGUGAGGAAGGAAUGGAGAUGGCAGAUUCUUUUAGUAAGGGAAUGAAGAAAUUGUUAGAAUUAUUAAAAAUUGUAACAAAAAUAUCACCAAUCUUUGUAACACCACAUAAGAAGGAUUCUGAGCCAGGAAAAUGACUGUUCUCAAAAUAUAUUCUCCCAAUAUACC